UACAGAGGUCCCGAGCGUUGUUCGGAUUCACUGGGCGUAAAGGGCGCGUAGGCGGUUCGCUAAGUUGGAUGUGAAAACUCUGGGCUCAACCCAGAGCCUGCAUCCAAAACUGGCGGGCUAGAGUUCUGGAGGGGGUAGCGGAAUUCCUGGUGUAGCGGUGAAAUGCGUAGAUAUCAGGAGGAACACCGGUGGCGAAGGCGGCUACCUGGACAGAAACUGACGCUGAGGCGCGAAAGCUAGGGGAGCAAACAGG
rnacentral:rRNA from 1 species